rnacentral:ncRNA from 1 species
GCAUGCAUUUUUGUGGGGGAACGGCGUGAAAUUCGUCGGCAGUCCCGCUACGGUAAGCCUCAAAAGAGGACAAGUCCGAAUGCCCGACCGUAUGU